GCAGUGGUGGUUCAGUGGUAGGAUUCUCUCCUUCCAUGUGGGAGACUCAGGUUCCAUUCCUGGCCAGGGCG
rnacentral:tRNA from 1 species